AAACCAUGAUGAGGACACUCUAAGAGAAGAUCCUUAAAACGUUCCAUUAAACCUAGAAAAUGAUUCAUUGGGUUUUUGACGAAACUGGAGAAUGUCGUUCCUAAGUUU
rfam:Cephalotus follicularis DNA, scaffold: scaffold5293, isolate: St1.